UAAUAUUUCUUAAAUAAGCUUUCAGUUGGAGUUAGACAAGGAUGUGAUCACUGGCAACAAUUCCAGUUGUCCCCAGAUCUUCUGCUGGCUUUGCCCUUUUGGAUCCAGCAUCACGCUUUGUGAAAGCCCAGCCCGGACACUCUGCUGUCAAGCAGCAGUAUAGAAAGAAGCAAUUUAGACCUGAAGCACCACUGUUUUCCCUCCCCCAG